UGGAUGCCUUGGCACCAGAAGGCGAUGAAGGGCGUGGUUAACUGCGAUAAUCCUUGGGGAGCCGUAAGCAGGCUUUGAUCCAGGGGUGCCCGAAUGGGGAAACCCACCAUAGCAAACCUAUGGUAUCCUUACCUGAAUAAAAUAGGGUAAGGAGGCAAGACGGGGGGAACUGAAACAUCUAAUUACCCCCAGGAAGAGAAAGUAAUAACGAUUCCCUAAGUAGCGGUGAGCGAAAAGGGAAGAGCCUAAACGGCAAUGGGCGUGAUAGUCGGUAGACGUUGCUCUUGCCGGGUCGUGGGACCUGAUCUGAUUCUUCUACCGCAAGAAUCAAAGAGUUAAAAAGUCUUUUUCUAGCCGAAAUGACAUUGGAAAAGUCUACCCUAGAUGGUGAUAGUCCAGUAGGCGAAAGGGAAAGACCUCUUUUUUCAGGCACCCGAGUAUCAUGGGAUAAGGGAAGCCCUGUGAGAAUUUAGGAGGACCACCUCCUAAGGCUAAAUACUAACUGGUGACCGAUAGUGAACUAGUACCGUGAGGGAAAGGUGAAAAGUACCCCGGGAGGGGAGUGAAAUAGUACCUGAAACCGUAUACCUACAAGCAGUGGGAGCACUAUUUUUUAAGAUUUAUCUUCUAAAAGUGUGACCGCGUGCCUUUUGUAAAAUGAGCCGGCGAGUUACGAUACCUAGCUAGGUUAAGCAGCAGCUGCUGCGGAGCCGCAGCGAAAGCGAGUCUAAAUAGGGCGUUUUAGUUAGGUGGCGUAG
rnacentral:rRNA from 1 species